CUUACACACGCACAAAUGCACGCUUCACCAAUUUCAUUUUCUUUUCCAGUAUAUUGAACCUCGAAAUAGGUAUAGUUCUUUCUUUCUAUUGACCUUCUUUUUUGCUUCAUUACUUCUCUUUUGUGUGUAGGGUUUAUCGAUUUUGCAAAUGAGGCAGAUGAGAGGGCCAAGGAAGCGGAUAUUCGGGUCCACGAAUUGGAGGAGCAGAAUAAGUUGCCUGAGGAUUCUCAUCUCUACGAGUACCGAUGCGAGAAACAGAUGGCAAAUUAAUUUCUUCACCAAAUUUUCUUAAUCUUUUUAACACUUAUGUUGUUCACCUCUUAUUGAUUGUAUGAUUAAUUGUGAAAUUACCUCUGUGGGAUUUGGAAAUUUAUUAAAAGCCAUAGGUUUUGUAGGGCUAACUAACCAAAUAAGUGAUUUUGGGUAAAGGGAAAAUAUGAAGAAAGCAAAUUGAUCUUACUGAGCCGUGUAUUAUAUAAUUCCCUUGUUUUUUUUUUCCUUGAGAGACUUGUUAAUUUAGAAAAAUGGAAACUUGGAUGAUGGUAAUACAUCCUGAAAAUCAAAGUUCUUUUCAAUGAUAGAAUAGUGUCACCCACUCAACUUUGGGCUGCAUGAGUUUCUAGGACAUUUUUGGAUAAAGUAUGAACUAAGUGGGCAUGAAAAUGGAAAAUGAAUAUUAGUAAUACUGGAAGGAGAUGAAGAUGAAAAUGGAAAAUGAAUAUUAGUAAUACUGUCUGAACUUUAUGAUCCUCUUCUCUAACAUCAAUCUUUACUGCUGAGGAAUUCUGUUAUUGCUGCCGGCCUAUUCUGAAUAUGUGACUUCUUUCUGUUUUAAAUUUGCUACUUUUAUGUCGUAACUUUGAACUUUGCUUCAGAAUCUUCUCUUCCAGUUAUAUUUUGCGGUUUAUGACUUUCUAGAUUGAUUAACAUAGAAAAUAGAUAAACUAUACAGUUAACAACUGGUUGAGGAUGUAAACGCUUGACAAUGGGAGAAUGUAGUUUCAAAAUCAAAGAAAAUCCUUUGGUAACAAUUUAUAUCUCAUUUGGCCUAAUAGAAGUUUCGUUUGUAGCCAUUUGAAAUCAUAAAUUACUUUGUAUUACAAGUAACGUUUCUUUAAUUUUUCUGUCAUUUUUUAAGUUUCAAGAUUCAUGUAAUGAAUUUUCUGUUUUCAUUGGAACAUGAGGGGAAAUUGUGAUUAAUUCAGAGUUAUGACAUGCGUGUGCAGGCCCAUUCGUUUGUUUACCUCCUGUGGGAAGUCUUGUGGUCUAUUUUCCUCAAGGUCAUAGUGAACAAGUACGUCCUUUCUCUCCUUUCUCUCUAUUUCGAGAAAUAUUGUAAAUUUUCACACGAUAUCUGAUAUGUACUUGUAUAUAUUCUAUUUGUAGGUGGCAGCAUUGAUUCAAAAGGAGGCUGAGAGCAUCCCAAGUUAUCCAAACCUUCCGUCGAAGUUGAUCUCCAUGCUCCAUAAUGUCAAUUUACAUGUAUGAACACUUCCAUAGUGCAACGGAAACUUUUAAACAUUUUUUUCUCCGUGUCGAAAUUUAUUUUCUUCUUGGGUUUUAUACUAGAUAAGUACUUGAUGAUCGUCAAUUUGAUCUACUAUGCAAUAAAUCAAUAUCAAUAAUGAUGUUCAAUUUGAUCUAUCUAUGCAGUAAGUCAACAUCAGCGAUAUUUAUCUUCAAUGGCUUUAGUUGUUAUUUGACUGGAUCAAUCUUAUGUUUCUUUAUCCUCUCCUCAGUAAGUUUUUUCCCCUGCCUUCCUUUUCAUGGUACUUCAAUUUGUGAUUUUUGGCUCUUUAAGAGAGAAUAUGGAUGGGAUCAUUUUACUGUAUUUCAAGAUUUUUAUGGUGAUGAGUUUCUGGUUCAUGCCCCAAUGUUCUCUCUUUUCACAUGUGAAAAAGGAUCUUGUUUUCUUGCUGUCGUUUUUGCUGUCUCACAUCUGCUUGCAGAGUCAACCACUUGAUGGUGGCUGUAUAUGUAGUUGUACAGGCAGCUGUUCCAUCUUUAAUGUUUGUGUUGUUUCCCAUUUCAGCAUCUUGUCAGUUAUUGCUUUGACAUGUAUGAUUCACAAUUUAUGUUUAAUGUGUGUGCACAUUAUAUUGUAUUUUCACAUGCCUAACAAAUGGGGGGGGAAAAAAAAGUGCUAGCAGAUUUUGACAAUACUGUGAGUUAAUUUGUUGUACUUUAUAGUUAGGAGUUGUUUCAAAAAGUUCUCCAUAAAAAGGUUUGUGGAUUUAGAUAAAAGAUGGUGAAAUGUGUCACAUGUGGUUGAAAAGUUGAUAAAAGUUGUGUGUUCCAUGAUAUUAUGGUUAAAAUCAAUUUUUUAGCAACAUUUUUUGCUUUCCUGAACAAGCACUUUGUAGAUAAGCAUUUACUAUCCCCUUACGUAUUAGACUGCAAAUAAUUCUCUUUCUUUCCUUUUCUUUUGUCCCGUCUGUAUUUGUUCCUUUUGGCAUAAUUAUUUUCGUUCAAUCAGUGCAAGCAAUAUGAGAAGGACCUAAUGGACAUGAUCGAUAGAGAAGUGGAUGGAAGUGAUAGUCUUGAGGGGAUUUGUUCUGUGCCAUUCAAUUGCUAGUGGUACAAGCUAAGGUUUCCAAAUCCUAUCACAUUGUGCAAAUUUUCUAUGUAAAUUCCAAAAUAUGAAUGUCUUGAUUCAUAUUUGAUUUUCAUAAGAAUAUGAAACUGGUUUUGUACUGUUCACGGAAGGACAGGUCAACUGCACUGUAGAGGCCCAAUUUAUUCUCUCUGCUUUCACUGUAUAUACUCAAUGUAUCUAUCUCUUCCUUUUCAUUUCUUCCCCCAUUUAGCCAUCCUUGUUGACUAUAUAAUAGUUAUUUGCUUUCCAUGUAGCCACCAUUCUUUCUAGCUACAGUGGUUCUGCAUUGUUCAUUAAAUGAUCGCCCUAACAAAGCGUCAUUUCUUCCAUCUCUAAACCCUCUUUUUUCUUUCCCGAAUUUCAAUCCCCAUUCCCAACACACUUUAAUUCCUCCUACAACGCUAAAAACCCUUCAAUUAAUUUCAUCUCUCCAGGAAUGAGCUGGCUGUACAAGCUUAGAUUUGGUGUUCUUAACUCCACCGACUCCAUGUGGAUUCCUCUUUCGAUUCUUCCAUAGCGCAUGGGACUAGACGAUCAUGUACUCGCUCUGAGCCAUCAGUUCGUGCAAUUCGAAGGAGGUAGAGAAUAUAGUAUUGGCUUCCUCCAUUGCAAUUUAUUGUUGAGUUUUUUUAAAACAGUAUUUAAUCGUAUCCCCAAGAAAAAUUUAUGAAUUUCAGUUCAGAAAUUUGAGAAAAAAUGUGAAGUUUAGGUUUGCUUUCAUCUUAAAUGUCUUAAAAGUUUGUUCUUAUUGGCAAAAAGUUUUAAAUUUCUGCAUUUAUUUAAUUAAGCUUGCUCAUUUUUAUCACCGGCAAAACUAAGAUUUCAGAUUUUGGGUGUGGUGUGGGGCUGAGCAACAUAGGGAAGCAGCAAUGCACAAAGGUCACUCAGAUUAAAAGGCUAAUUGCUAGAAACUGGUGAAUAUAAGCACAAGGAAGAUUUGGAAAUGCUUAUAAAUUUAGAGCUGGGGAAGUUAAAUUAUGUUGAGAACGAGUUCCGGAAUUAUGAAUAUAUUGUAAGAAAAAAUAAUAAAUGAGAUUGUAUAUAAAAUAAAAAGUGGAGCAAUUUGAUUGAAUUAUGCCACUAUGAGUUUUAAUUUUUGAUUUCUUUUAUUUUUUGAUUGUCAAAUUUGUCGACGAAUAAAUGAAACAUAGGAUUGAGUUGAGUAUGACGUGGAGAAAUGUGACUAGAGAGCUUGAAACAUUGACCUCUUGAAAAUUAACUUUUGAGAACGUGAAAACUUCCAACUAGAAAGUAGAAACUGCAUGAUCGGCUGAAUAAUUUGUAAAAAGAAGUGACAAACUGUAAUUUCUCUAUUUUGUGAUUUAUGUUUUCGUGAACAUUAUUGUAGCUAGAUGUUCCUUUAGUUUAUCAUUCACAUAUUGAAAUGAGAUAUUGCACAUGCUAGAAGAAAUAUGUAAUCCUCCUUCUGGUUCUUGGCAAAAUUUGAAGGUGAGUAGAAUUUUCUGAGUACGAACUUUGUUGUUGUUGUUUUUUUUUCUGGCAAUUAUAUUUAUCUUGUGAAAAACUGUUUCAGGAUUACAUGUGAAAAUCUAGGGAUGUUUUUUUUCUCAAGUUUCUUGUGAUGAUGAUGGUAAGUUAUUUUACUCAAUACAAUUUUUUUUACUAUAGAGAUGCUAAU
rnacentral:lncRNA from 1 species